rnacentral:lncRNA from 1 species
CGAAGGGAGAGGGAGAGAGAGAAUCUUAAGCAGGCUCCCGGCCCACCACAGGGCACAAUGUGAGGAUGGAUCUUAGAACCCUGAGAUCAUGACCUGAGCCAACAUCAAGAGUAGGGCACUUAACCAAUUGAGCUACUCAGGCACCUCAAAAUUUAAUGUAUCUUAGAAAAAAAAUCUGAUUAAAAAAAAAGGAAGUCUGCUUUGCAGAUAAACAGAUGGACUACAUCUUCCUCUGCAAAUGAUGUUGUAAGGGUAAUGUUUUUUAAAUAUGGGGCUAAGAAUAUCAUCCAUCUUCAGAUGUACCAACACUAACACAAAGGAAAAAAACAAAAGAAUCAGAAACACGGCAAUGAUGGCAUCAGUCCAUUGUUCUUUACCAAAUACUAUGAGAAGCGUUGCCAUUUUCCUGUUUCAAGAAAAGAAACGAAAAAAAAAAAAAAAGAAAAGAAACGUCACUUUAUUAGAACCUGAUUUAAGGAGAGUAUUAUCACUGUGGUGUUCUACAGUGGCAGGGCAUCUAAUUCAAUUACAUAUGUCUUAACUAAAGAUGAAUAUUCAGGCAUAUUUGCAUAUGUACACAAAUUUCUAAAUAGUCAACUCUUCAG